AUGAACGCUGGCGGCGUGCUUCACACAUGCAAGUCGAACGAUGAAGCCCAGCUUGCUGGGUGGAUUAGUGGCGAACGGGUGAGUAACACGUGAGUAACCUGCCCUUGACUCUAGGAUAAGCCCGGGAAACUGGGUCUAAUACUGGAUAGGAACGUCUACCGCAUGGUGGGUGUUGGAAAGAAUUUCGGUCAUGGAUGGACUCGCGGCCUAUCAGCUUGUUGGUGAGGUAAUGGCUCACCAAGGCGACGACGGGUAGCCGGCCUGAGAGGGUGACCGGCCACACUGGGACUGAGACACGGCCCAGACUCCUACGGGAGGCAGCAGUGGGGAAUAUUGCACAAUGGGCGAAAGCCUGAUGCAGCGACGCCGCGUGAGGGAUGACGGCCUUCGGGUUGUAAACCUCUUUCAGUAGGGAAGAAGCGAAAGUGACGGUACCUGCAGAAGAAGCACCGGCUAACUACGUG
rnacentral:rRNA from 1 species